AUGAACGCUGGCGGCGUGCCUAAUACAUGCAAGUCGAACGAGUUCUCGUUGAUGAUCGGUGCUUGCACCGAGAUUCAACAUGGAACGAGUGGCGGACGGGUGAGUAACACGUGGGUAACCUGCCCUUAAGUGGGGGAUAACAUUUGGAAACAGAUGCUAAUACCGCAUAGAUCCAAGAACCGCAUGGUUCUUGGCUGAAAGAUGGCGUAAGCUAUCGCUUUUGGAUGGACCCGCGGCGUAUUAGCUAGUUGGUGAGGUAACGGCUCACCAAGGCGAUGAUACGUAGCCGAACUGAGAGGUUGAUCGGCCACAUUGGGACUGAGACACGGCCCAAACUCCUACGGGAGGCAGCAGUAGGGAAUCUUCCACAAUGGACGCAAGUCUGAUGGAGCAACGCCGCGUGAGUGAAGAAGGCUUUCGGGUCGUAAAACUCUGUUGUUGGAGAAGAAUGGUCGGCAGAGUAACUGUUGUCGGCGUGACGGUAUCCAACCAGAAAGCCACGGCUAACUACGUGCCAGCAGCCGCGGUAAUACGUAGGUGGCAAGCGUUAUCCGGAUUUAUUGGGCGUAAAGCGAGCGCAGGCGGUUUUUUAAGUCUGAUGUGAAAGCCCUCGGCUUAACCGAGGAAGCGCAUCGGAAACUGGGAAACUUGAGUGCAGAAGAGGACAGUGGAACUCCAUGUGUAGCGGUGAAAUGCGUAGAUAUAUGGAAGAACACCAGUGGCGAAGGCGGCUGUCUGGUCUGUAACUGACGCUGAGGCUCGAAAGCAUGGGUAGCGAACAGGAUUAGAUACCCUGGUAGUCCAUGCCGUAAACGAUGAAUGCUAGGUGUUGGAGGGUUUCCGCCCUUCAGUGCCGCAGCUAACGCAUUAAGCAUCCGCC
rnacentral:rRNA from 1 species